AUUAUCUUUUUAAAAAAACUUUAGACCUUUCAAAAUAUAAAAUAAGUGAUUUUUUCAUAAUCAAUGUUAAAAUCUGAACGGCGAAAAAUGAUAUUUACGUGAUUUGACCAACAGCCUAUGUCCACAGAUGAAGACGAAGCAAAAUACUUUAUUAAUCUUGAAAGACGAAGUAUUAAAAAAAUCUCUCAAAAAAUUAAAUC
rnacentral:lncRNA from 1 species